rnacentral:rRNA from 1 species
UACGUAGGGUCCGAGCGUUGUCCGGAAUUAUUGGGCGUAAAGGGCUCGUAGGCGGUUCGUCACGUCGGGAGUGAAAACUCGGAGCUUAACUCCGACGCUCUGCUCGAUACGGGCAGACUAGAGGUAGGCAGGGGAGAGCGGAACUCCUGGUGUAGCGGUGGAAUGCGCAGAUAUCAGGAAGAACACCGGUGGCGAAGGCGGCUCUCUGGGCCUUACCUGACGCUGAGGAGCGAAAGCGUGGGAGCGAACAGG